AGCAUAUCCAUCAUCCCUCAAAGUUUCCUUGGUGCCCUUUUCCUUCUGCCCUACCUUUCCCUAUAAGCACUAUGAGGAAAAGGAUUUUUUCCUGUUUGGUUUCUGCUGAGAUUCAGAUGCUUGCUCUGCCAGUUUUACUAGCGAGACAAUAUAUGUAACCUCUCUGUGCCUCAAGUUCAUCAUUUGUAUCCCUGUGCCCAGGCCUCUCUUUUCUUUUGACCACUUUCACCUUUUUUCUAUUUCAGAGCAACUGCUCAUAUAUAACAAAAAGGACACAGGUAGAAGUGGUGUAGCUGGAAUUGGAAUCCAGUUAGGUAAUUUUCAAAGCCUGUUCUCUUUCUCCUCUAAUAAUUAUCAUCUUUGAAGCCAUUUUGCAACCUGUAAAGGGUUUUAUAGAUAUAAUAAGAUUUUUAUUAAAAUACUCUCUUUUCCCCUACAGACUUGUGUUUUGACUUAGGAAGCAUACCAUCUGUCAGUGGGCUUUCUCCAGGACAAUUUUAAGGCUUACAGGAGUGUGGAACAGCUAAUAGCUUCAUAUCUAUAAUCUACACUGAAAAUUUCCCUAUCAGUGAAUUGCCAAGGAUAAUUGAAAAACCAAAACCAAACGCAAAACAGACUCACAAAAGUCAAACCCUUAUGAUGCUUCUGGGGAAAAGUGUGACCCGGACCCUGGCACCCCUCCUCCCAC
rnacentral:lncRNA from 1 species